rnacentral:rRNA from 1 species
UACGUAGGCAGCAAGCGUUGUUCGGAGUUACUGGGCGUAAAGGGUGUGUAGGCGAUUGGAUAAGUGUGGUGUGAAAUCUCCCGGCUUAACUGGGAGGGUGCGCUACAAACUGUCUGACUAGAGUGUGGGAUGGGUAAGUGGAAUUCCUGGUGUAGCGGUGAAAUGCGUAGAUAUUACCAGGAACACCAAUGGCGAAGGCAGCUUGCUGGGCUACUCCUGACACUGAGGUACGAAAGCGUGGGGAGCGAACAGG